rnacentral:rRNA from 1 species
UUUAUACUGUGAAACUGCGAAUGGCUCAUUAAAUCAGUUAUCGUUUAUUUGAUAGUACCUUACUACAUGGAUACCUGUGGUAAUUCUAGAGCUAAUACAUGCUAAAAACCUCGACUUCGGAAGGGGUGUAUUUAUUAGAUAAAAAACCAAUGCCCUUCGGGGCUCCUUGGUGAUUCAUAAUAACUUAACGAAUCGCAUGGCCUUGCGCCGGCGAUGGUUCAUUCAAAUUUCUGCCCUAUCAACUUUCGAUGGUAGGAUAGUGGCCUACCAUGGUGGCAACGGGUAACGGGGAAUUAGGGUUCGAUUCCGGAGAGGGAGCCUGAGAAACGGCUACCACAUCCAAGGAAGGCAGCAGGCGCGCAAAUUACCCAAUCCCGACACGGGGAGGUAGUGACAAUAAAUACUGAUACGGGGCUCUUUUGGGUCUCGUAAUUGGAAUGAGUACAAUCUAAAUCCCUUAACGAGGAACAAUUGGAGGGCAAGUCUGGUGCCAGCAGCCGCGGUAAUUCCAGCUCCAAUAGCGUAUAUUAAAGUUGUUGCAGUUAAAAAGCUCGUAGUUGAACCUUGGGUCUGGCUGGCCGGUCCGCCUCACCGCGAGUACUGGUCCGGCUGGACCUUUCCUUCUGGGGAACCUCAUGGCCUUCACUGGCUGUGGGGGGAACCAGGACUUUUACUGUGAAAAAAUUAGAGUGUUCAAAGCAGGCCUUUGCUCGAAUACAUUAGCAUGGAAUAAUAGAAUAGGACGUGCGGUUCUAUUUUGUUGGUUUCUAGGACCGCCGUAAUGAUUAAUAGGGAUAGUCGGGGGCGUCAGUAUUCAGCUGUCAGAGGUGAAAUUCUUGGAUUUGCUGAAGACUAACUACUGCGAAAGCAUUCGCCAAGGAUGUUUUCAUUAAUCAGGGAACGAAAGUUAGGGGAUCGAAGACGAUCAGAUACCGUCGUAGUCUUAACCAUAAACUAUGCCGACUAGGGAUCGGGCGGUGUUUCUAUGAUGACCCGCUCGGCACCUUACGAGAAAUCAAAGU